rnacentral:rRNA from 1 species
GCUCAAAUUUGAAAUCUGGCGUCUUCGACGUCCGAGUUGUAAUUUGAAGAAGGCGACUUUGUAGCUGGUCCUUGUCUAUGUUCCUUGGAACAGGACGUCAUAGAGGGUGAGAAUCCCGUGUGGCGAGGAUCCCAGUUAUUUGUAAAGUGCUUUCGACGAGUCGAGUUGUUUGGGAAUGCAGCUCUAAGUGGGUGGUAAAUUCCAUCUAAAGCUAAAUAUUGGCGAGAGACCGAUAGCGAACAAGUACAGUGAUGGAAAGAUGAAAAGAACUUUGAAAAGAGAGUGAAAAAGUACGUGAAAUUGUUGAAAGGGAAGGGCAUUUGAUCAGACAUGGCGUUUGCUUCGGCUUUCGCUGGGCCAGCAUCAGUUUUAGCGGUUGGAUAAAUCCUCGGGAAUGUGGCUCUGCUUCGGUAGAGUGUUAUAGCCCGUGGGAAUACAGCCAGCUGGGACUGAGGAUUGCGACUUUUGUCAAGGAUGCUGGCGUAAUGGUUAAAUGCCGCCCGUCUUGA